UAGCAGUGUUCUCCUAUAUUUCUUUG
rnacentral:misc_RNA from 1 species